rnacentral:rRNA from 1 species
CCUACGGGUGGCAGCAGUGAGGAAUAUUGGUCAAUGGGCUUACGCCUGAACCAGCCAAGUCGCGUGAGGGAAGACUGCCCUAUGGGUUGUAAACCUCUUUUGUCAGGGAGCAACGCCGGCUACGUGUAGCCGGACUGAGAGUACCUGAAGAAAAAGCAUCGGCUAACUCCGUGCCAGCAGCCGCGGUAAUACGUAGGAGGCAAGCGUUAUCCGGAAUGACUGGGCGUAAAGGGUGCGUAGGUGGUUUGACAAGUUAGUAGCGUAAUUCCGGGGCUCAACUUCGGAACUCCUACGAAAACUGUUGGGCUUGAGUGCAGGAGAGGUGAAUGGAAUGCCUAGUGUAGCGGUGGAAUGCGUAGAUAUUAGGAGGAACACCAGCGGCGAAAGCGAUUCACUGGACUGUAACUGACACUGAGGCACGAAAGCGUGGGGAGCAAACAGGAUUAGAUACCCUUGUAGUC